rnacentral:tRNA from 1 species
CCCACUGUAGCUCAGUUGGUAGAGCAUGGCGCUUGCAACACCAGGGCUGUGGGUUUGAUUCCCAUGGGGGGC